rnacentral:rRNA from 1 species
UACAGAGGUCUCGAGCGUUGUUCGGAUUCAUUGGGCGUAAAGGGUGCGUAGGUGGCACUGUAAGUCGGGUGUGAAAUCCUGAGGCUUAACCUCGGAACUGCAUUCGAUACUGCCGUGCUUGAGGACUGGAGAGGAGACUGGAAUUUACGGUGUAGCGGUGAAAUGCGUAGAUAUCGUAAGGAAGACCAGUGGCGAAGGCGGGUCUCUGGACAGUUCCUGACGCUGAGGCACGAAGGCCAGGGGGAGCAAACGGG